GAUGAACGCUGGCGGCGUGCCUAAUACAUGCAAGUCGAGCGAACAGACGAGGAGCUUGCUCCUCUGACGUUAGCGGCGGACGGGUGAGUAACACGUGGAUAACCUACCUAUAAGACUGGGAUAACUUCGGGAAACCGGAGCUAAUACCGGAUAACAUGUUGAACCGCAUGGUUCAACAGUGAAAGACGGUCUUGCUGUCACUUAUAGAUGGAUCCGCGCCGCAUUAGCUAGUUGGUAAGGUAACGGCUUACCAAGGCAACGAUGCGUAGCCGACCUGAGAGGGGGAUCGGCCACACUGGAACUGAGACACGGUCCAGACUCCUACGGGAGGCAGCAGUAGGGAAUCUUCCGCAAUGGGCGAAAGCCUGACGGAGCAACGCCGCGUGAGUGAAGAAGGUCUUCGGAUCGUAAAACUCUGUUAUUAGGGAAGAACAAAUGUGUAAGUAACUAUGCACGUCUUGACGGUACCUAAUCAGAAAGCCACGGCUAACUACGUGCCAGCAGCCGCCGCAG
rnacentral:rRNA from 1 species